GCAGACACAUUCUAGCCAAUCAGCAGCAGACCCUCCCUCCCAGACCCUCCCACCUCCUGGACAGCAUCCAUUGUGAAGCUGUAUUCUUAGUGAGCUGUCCAGGAGGUGGGAGGGUCUGGGAGGGAGGGUCUGCUGCUGAUUGGCUGGAAUGUGUCUG
rnacentral:miRNA from 1 species